rnacentral:lncRNA from 1 species
AAGUAGACAAGGUCAUUCAACUCCUAAAAGCUUAUUUUCCAAAAGCACAGUUAGGUCCCAGCUUCCAGGAUGCUUCUGGCUUUAUCAAAAUGACACUGCUUUGCUUUGUGAAAGUGUGAGGGUAAUCUGUGUAUGACUUAAGGAGUCAAUUUCCUAUAGGAACCUUCUCUGAGAUAGGAAAAUAUUUUUAAAUUAAUCAACGGUGGUAAAAUAUAUUUAAACAUAAAUCACAAAUUCGAACUCCUCCAAAUAUUUAUUUACUAAUAUGGAAGACAUGGAAACUACUGAAAUCUCAUUUAAAGGAAGUUAUUUUGUUGUGCAUUUGCUUUCGGGCGCGGGGCGGGGAAGUGGGGGGGUGGGCGGCGCGGGGGUAUGACUGCCGACCUGCCCUUGAAGGAAACUUGCUUUGGCUCAGGUUAGCAGGCAAGUCCGUUUCUCCAAGGCGAUUCCAACCCCACGCCUCUCAACCCUUAAAUCUUAAAUUGAAUUAUUGGGUUCAGGUGGUUCUCCCACAGAACCUCCCAGCUUCCGGAACAGGGGGGCGGGGCAGGGAGACCCUGCUUUUUAUUUCAGAUCUGACGUGUGCAAUCCUAGUGCACUAGCCAAAAGGAAAAAAAAAAAAAAAAAAAAAAAAAAAAAAGCUGAAUUCUCCGCGCUCUCCCGGCAAAUUUCUCUCCGACAUGAAACCCAAGGAGAAGGCGUGUUCAAUGGCUACAGGGCGCUCUCUGAAGCCGGCUCCUCGCGCGAAUUCCGGCCCAGGCCGCCGCUCAGGUCCCAGCCGGGCUGCACAGCGAGCUGGAGAGGAUGGCAACGCCUGCUUCCAGGGAGACGGGAGGAGCGCCAACUCCUAAGGUGGGUCACCUGCCAGGAAGGGAACACCCGUGGUGCAGACGCACGUGGGAGGAGCACAGGUCCCGCGUACAAGUGCAGUGCUGGCGACUUAGGGAAGAAGAGUAAUUGAAGGCCUGAGACGCCCAUGUGCCACUGAUUGGAAGGCUUCCCUGCUGCGGCGCUUCAUGAUCCAGCAGCGCGUGGACCAGUG